rnacentral:misc_RNA from 1 species
AAACCGCAGUUCCAUAUAAGCCAAUGAAAAACUAAUUCAAUACGGCAUUUAUGUGCCCGACAACAGCAAACAAUAGAGUUCUAAUGGAUCCAUCAAUUAGAGAGGGCCUGGAAAGUUUCCAUUCUCCCUCUGCUCAUUCCAUUUCUCAACCCAUUCCCCGGGACAGAGUGAUCUGUAGUAUUGGGCAAACUUUCCACAAUCACCAGACUCUUCACCUUUUGCAGAGACACACUUGUGAUACUCCACAUAGCGAGUGAAGCAGUGUCUUGUUUGAUUUGUUGUGGGGAAGCGAAAAUCAGCUGGGGCUGUUUUCAACUCA